GACGAACGCUGGCGGCGUGCCUAAUACAUGCAAGUAGAACGCACAGUUUAUACCGUAGCUUGCUACACCAUAGACUGUGAGUUGCGAACGGGUGAGUAACGCGUAGGUAACCUGCCUGGUAGCGGGGGAUAACUAUUGGAAACGAUAGCUAAUACCGCAUAAUAUUGAUUAUUGCAUGAUAAUUGAUUGAAAGAUGCUAUUGCAUCACUACCAGAUGGACCUGCGUUGUAUUAGCUAGUAGGUGAGGUAACGGCUCACCUAGGCGACGAUACAUAGCCGACCUGAGAGGGUGAUCGGCCACACUGGGACUGAGACACGGCCCAGACUCCUACGGGAGGCAGCAGUAGGGAAUCUUCGGCAAUGGACGAAAGUCUGACCGAGCAACGCCGCGUGAGUGAAGAAGGUUUUCGGAUCGUAAAGCUCUGUUGUAAGAGAAGAACGGGUGUGAGAGUGGAAAGUUCACACUGUGACGGUAUCUUACCGGAAAGGGACGGCUAACUACGUG
rnacentral:rRNA from 1 species